rnacentral:misc_RNA from 1 species
CCCAAAAGUGGUAUAGGUACCAAAACAGGCAUAUCAAUGAUGCGAAAACAUACUAGUUCCUCAUCGCAAUCUAAUCAAAUCGAAGAAAAUCUUGUUUUAUUAGAUUCUAUUGUACAUACUUCCAUUACAGCUUUACCAUCAUAAUGCUGUAAUUGAUAGCAAAACUACACCAUGGAAGACGGAAAAUUAGUGAUAUUGCUGGGAACUCAAUACCAUAUAAAAAGAUGACAACAUUAGACAAUUCUCCGCAGCUAAACAACACA